GGCCUCCCAAAGUGCUGGGAUUACAGGCCUGAGCCACCAUGCCUGGCUACAUAAUUACAACAGGGAGUGCUCUUAACAGUUCUGGUCUCCUCGACCUCUUCCUCUUCCUAAGCAUUUCUCUUCUGCUUUGCAUCCCAGUCCCCAGUCCUGAUAAUGGGACUGGUAAGUAGAACUCUGCAAUAUGGGUCAGGAACAUCUACAGUUUAAGACAAGUAAAGAAUUGAUGGCAGCAGUGGCCCUUCUGGAGCGGCUACUGCGAUGAGGCCGGCUGUACUGGGGGAGGCGCGGACCGGGCUGCAAGCUCUGUGGAGCUGGCCAGAGCCCCACCCACUUCUGAGUUGGAGGGGCGGGAUCCCCAAGCUUUCAGGCAAGGCUGCAGCCAUACAGCCAUAGCUGCGGACCUGGACAUCCCUGUACUCUAGGAGGCCGGGAGGCCCCCCUCCCCCGGCAGGCUUGGAAGUGCCUGCUCCCGCUGCCUGGCCUCUCCCUCCUGGAGCCCACUCUGGGGCGGAGCAAAGUUGUGGCUGAGCCCAAGUGGUGUCUAGACCCAGCUAGGUGUGCUGUGCUUGUUGGGGGCGCUUCUGACAUGCCAGUCCCCUGCCACCUUGGCCCCCUCUAGACUUUGGGAACUGACAAGUGCAGGAGGGAGGCUGGUGGUGGGGGGCAGGGGACGCUGAGGACAGCUGAGUGCAAGCCUGCCGGCACUCCUCUGCAGGAACAGCCUGGGCGGGAUGGACGACCUGAUUGAUGGUAGCAGGAGGCAGACAGGCUCCUGGGCGGAAAGGGGUGGGUCCCCGGUGAAGCCCCACCGUCAAGCCCCCGGAGGCCUGAAGCUUGGGGGCCGAGCUGUCAGUUCCGCCUGAAGUCUGUGGCCGGGAGUGAGAACUUAGGUGCUUUUUCCGGGUCCGCCCAUGGCCGCCCCACGGACCAAUCAGCAUGCACUUCCUCUCUUCUCAUCCCGGCCAGACUCACACAGAUGCUGGGACUACCAGCGGUGGCAAGGAGCUGCCCAAUUCAGGUCUUCUUGACUCAUCAAGACGACCAGCCUGCGGAAGGGAGCUACCUACUCUGAGUCUCCUCUCCGUUGAGAGCUGGACCCUCACUGGGACAACCUGCCUGCGGAAAGGAGCUAUCCACUUCAGGUUUCGCGAGAGCUGCUCUGUCACUCAAUAAGGCUCCUCUCUGCCUUGCUUACCCUCUAGUUGUCCGUGGACCUCAUUCUUCCUGGAUGUGGGACAAGAACUCAGGACCUACUGAAUGAUGGGACUGAAAGAGCAGUAACACAAACAGGGCUGAAACACACCCUCUCCCCCCACCCCGACUUGACAUGUUGCGGGUGAUGUGAAGGAGAGAAGUGCUGUGGCCCUUCUGGGGUCCCAGACCUAGGGGCUCCCUGAGCCAGGGCUGUGAUACCCUCUUUGGAGCUCUGCGGUUUCUGGCAUCUUCAAACUUCUGGGCAGCGCUGCGUCCCCCUUGUCCAGACACAGUGCCCACAGCAGACACCGCUUAUGGUUCAUCAGAUCCAGCUGCAGACUUGCACGGAACCAGCACCUUUGCCAGUGCCUGGAGCUGCCCGCCCAGCUGCAGCAGCUGGUGUGUCUGGCUGUGCGCAGUGGCUAGACCCUGUGCUUGCUCACCCACACACCCCUUGCCACUCCAUGCCUGGCUAACCCUUGGCAGGUGUGGAAUCCUGGCUGGUAGCAUGAGCCAAGCACAGCCUGCUAGCCCAUGUCAGCGGAAUGAGUACCCUGGCCAGAUCAAAACUCAGUCAAAGGCACCACUGGUCACAGAGGUUUCCAGCUGGAAAAGCAACACCCGAAGGAUCUCGUGACACGAUCAACUUGCUAGGAGAUCCCUGCCACCCACAGAGGCUGCAGGAAGUUGCCUCCAUCCAGGCCUCUUCACAGAAGGGGAAUUGCAGAGACCGUAGGAUUUUUCUGCUCAUGAAAACAGAUGGUGUCUGGCCAGGAAAAUAAAAUGCUUCAAGCAAAGUGCCAUAGGGAUUAGAAUCCUGAUGAUCUGAGACUCUGAUAAUGACUCGGAUGAUUCCCAAUUCUAUGAUGAAUCAUUUCAGAAUGACUCUGAGAUGACAAUUCCUGAUUCUAUGAUGAUUGAGGCAGAUCUCAUUGGUUGGCAGAUCUACUUGGUAAAGCUGAGUCAUCAUAACACCAUCAUUUUCAGAGGAAAGCUGAAGCCAAAAGAAUUCACUAAAACUGUACUACGAGAAAUGCUAAAGGAAGUUGUUCAGACUGAUGGAAAAUUAUACCAGAUGGACACUUGAAUUUAUGCAAAGGAAUGAAGAGCACCAGAAAUGGCAAAUAUGUGUCUGGAGAAUUCUCAGAAGUUGGAAACUCUCCCUGUUUGAUCUUUGUCGUCUCAGGACCCAAUAUAAUACCUGACAUAUAGUAGGUGCUCAAUAAAUGAAUUAAAUGGAAUU